UCUGUACCGCCGCCAUCUUGGAACAGGGUUCUAAUCAGGUAUCUGUUCAUUUACCAUUAUGGCCACGCCAGUCGGUGAUCACUUUGUAAAGUUGAAGGAUAUUUGUGCCGCUAUGCUUGCAGCAACGAGAGGACGAAAAACAGCCAAAGAAGGUGUAACAUGAGAUGGCCCAAAAGAAGGAGGAGGCGGGCAUGGGCUCUGGCUUUGAAGAGAGAGAGAGAGGUUUGUGCCAAAACAACGCUGAUCUGAUGCUGCCACUUACCUCCUGAGCAAACUGUUCGGCUGAGAGAGCCAUCAAUUUCAACUUCAACUUCCCCAAACACUUGUCCAAGGGUAGUUCCAGUCCUGUGUUCCAUUCUUCAUGGAGGGCAUGGGGUGACUGUCUGCGUUUGUGACCCUCCAGUCAGCAUUGAGUUGACGGGCUACAGACACUUGCAGUUGGAGAACAGGCUGUGAACUGCUGAUAUCCUGCGUCCUUCAGCACAGUGAGCGCCAGUGCCACAGAUCAACGCAAUGUUUGAGCUGCCACAGACACCUUCAUCUUCUGGCCAUCGAAGUCAACAUGCCUUCUGAUCACCUUGUUUUUGCUGCAUGAAGACCCUCAGGAUCCUGAACAUUAUUCAGAUCAACAAUAUGUUGCCAUUUAACUGUUCCAAAGGGACUGAUGAUAGGACCGUAAGCCUUGAGCAUAUUUUUAGCUAAUUUCCUGAUCAGGUAGAUAUCUUCCCCUGAGGAAAGGCGGGUAAAUGAGGUCUUCAGAGGCUGUUCUUCUGGAUUUUACCAGAUAUGUUUCGACGGUAGGGUCACAGGGAUGUUGAUGUGUCAUGUGCUUUGAAAUGAGCUGAUGUUGUUAUGGAGGUGUGCCCUCCCUGUCAAUAUUGACAGGUUGGUCACACUUCCUACUGAGUUAUCCUUUUUGGAUGGUGGUCCAGGUGUGUGACGGCAUGUAUGCCCCCUCAUCCCUGUGAACAAAAACCAGGGAUGAGUGGGCAUACGUGCUCUAACACACCUGGCCCACCAUCCUAAGAUGACCACUCUAACAGCAGGAGGUUUGACCAAUAUCAACAGGGAGGGCACACCUCCACAACAACGUCAACUGAUUUUAAAGCACGUCACAUCAACAUCCCUGUGACCCUACCGUCGAAAUGUCUGAAGUAACCUGGUUAAUGGAUGGUGGUGGCGGGGUUCUAGUGUUGAUUGUGUAUAUAGUUGUCUUUUUUCAAUAAAUUGAAGUGUGGUCAGGACUUGCUGUGUACUUUCAUUGUCAAACUCUGCUUAAUGGAUAACUCCAGCCAAUUACAUUUUCGGCUCAGCCCUUUCCGGGAUCUGAGCUAUUCUAAUGGGGGCAGAUUUUGUUUAUCGCUGUUUGCUAGUUGUCUGAUUUUGCAUAACCUUUUGGAUGUUUUGGGGAAUAAAGCAAGAUGUUGUUUUUAUUAUUAUUUAGUGGGAGCAUGUUGAAAUUGGCUGGAGUUAAACUUUAAGCUUUCCUAUUUUUUUUGUUUUUUAACGAUUCACUGAAACCAUUGUAAAUAUUUGGGAAUAAAGUAGUCACAGCAAUCUGUUGCAUUGCUUAAAUAUUAUGGUAAUGGGAUUACAUUACUGAUAACAUAUUUAGCUUAUUACAUUUCAAAAGUAACCUCACCAACCCUGUGUAGGCCUAUGUAAUAUUUAUUUCAUUUGUGUAGAUUUGUAAACAUGCUGAAUAGGAUCAAAGGGUUUCAGGAAACUAUGGAUUUAACCUGUGAUCACAUUGUUGAAACUGGGCCCAUAGGGCUUAUUGCCAGAAAUAAGACUUAUUGUCCAGAAAUAAGACACGACGGUGCUGUAGCUUGGUUAGUGCAGCCCUCAAAUAUUAUAAGGCACCAAACAAUAAACCAGCCUUCACUGUUGUGACUUGUGCAAAUAUUGCAUUCGUGUAGGCCCUAUACAAUGAUGGCAUAUUCAAGUGUAAUGUAGCCUAAUUUAGAUAGUGUCCAUAACGUAACCAAUAGCCUACAACGGUAGGCUAUACACUCAUACACUAGAUUACAUUACAUUGCUCUUCUUAGCUGA